GAUUAGGGCUGCAGGAUACAUCUUUGUGUAGUAAAUGCUGCUUCAUCUGAAAGCAGGUGAUGGUGAUUUACUACUAAACAAGGAACCGGCUUCACUGACGAGAUGCGCAAUGACUAUUGCAUGCGAUAUAUUGUGCAUCCCUAACUUAAAGGGUCAUAAAUUCUCUUCUUUCAGCUCCAGUCUGCCUCAUUGUUUUGAGCAGUGCUAUUUAAAAGGGUGUGGAUGCUGUGAGAUAGCCUGGCUCCGCCCUCCUAUGUGCUUCCGCUUAAUUUUCAUUUCGCUUCAGUACUACGUCUGGGUCUGCUCUGUAGAGUUUCGUUUUCUCCUGCAAAAAUCUGCAGGACCAAUCAGCGAACAGAUGGGGGUGGCUAAGAACGAUGAUGUUGAGGUCGUGCCGAAUAUACAGAAGUUAAAGCCGGAGCAAGAACCAGACUUGUUGGAAGUGAAAGAAGAAGGUCAAGAACACAAUGGAAUGAAGGAUGAACAUAAGGACCACAAUUUUAUGACUGACAGCUGCUCAGAAACUGACGAGAAUUCCUCCCAAGAAAGAGUUGAAGACAACAAUGUUUUUGAAUGCUAUCUUUGUGGUAAGACUUUCUCAAAAAAAGGGAAACUAACGCGUCACCUAAGGAUUCACACUAAGGCGCCUCACACAUGCUCCCACUGUGAGAAGACUUUCAUCAAUAAAAGUACAUUUGUGGAUCACAUAAGGAGUCACACAGGUGAGAGGCCUUUUUCCUGCCCUCAGUGUGAUAAACGUUUCAUUAAUAAAUCAAGACUUAAUGCUCACAUAAAGACUCACAGUACUGAAAAUCCGUACAUUUGCCCUCAAUGUGGAAAGACUUACGCAUGUAAAGAAUAUCUGCAUAAUCAUAUAAUUUCUCACAGUAAAACAAAACCUUUCUCAUGCCCUCAGUGUGAUAAGAGUUUUUCACAUAAGAGUUACUUAAAUACUCAUGUGAGACGGCACAUUAGUGACGGGCCGUACACCUGCUCUCAUUGUGGAAAGAGUUUCUUCAGUAAAGCAAAUCUAGAAAAUCACAUACGAAUUCACACUGGAGAGAAACCUUACACAUGCCCUCAGUGUGAUAAGAGCUUUAAACAACAAGGAGCUCUUAGGGAUCACAUACGAAUUCAUACAGGUGAGAGACCUUACUCAUGCCAUCUGUGUGAUAAGAGUUUUAAACAUCAAAGUGUUCUUGGGUAUCACAUGCGAAUUCAUACAGGUGAGAGGCCUUUCUCAUGCCAUCUGUGUGAUAAGAGUUACAUACAUGCAUAUAGUCUCAAACAACAUUUGCAGGUUCACUCAGAUGAAAGACCUUUUAGCUGCGAUCAGUGCGAUAAGAAGUAUUUUAAAGCAUUUCUGUUUAAAGAGCACCUAAAGACUCAUUCAGAUGAGAGGCCGUAUUUGUGUUCAGUUUGUGGAAAGGGUUUUCAAUCACACAGAAAAGUUAAGGAGCACCAGAAAACGCAUACAGGUGUGAAAAAUCAUGUGUGCUCUGUGUGUGAUAAAGCCUUUCUGAGAGGCACAGACCUAAAGCGACACCAAGAGAUCCACGAAAAAAAUCCUAAAAGUGCUCAGAUUGUGGAAAGUUUUUUUUGAGUUUGGGAAGCUGAUAAAACACAGAUGACUCACAGAGAAAAGUGCUGUCCACAAAGAGUGAGCUAAGAUGAACUUUAGGCCCAUGCAGAUGGUUACCCCUCUUCCACUGAGGCUGGUUCUGUGUCGACACCAAAACUAGAAGGAACACUCAGCCAGUGCUCAGUAUGGGCUCACGUUACCACCAAAAAUAGAGCUGAAUGCACUACUUCACCAAUGACCAGAAUUGCUCAGUGUUAUAUUAUUAAACGCUGCGUGUUAUGCUGUAUUAUACCAUGGGGCUGUUGAAUGCUUAAUCUGAUUGGUUGAGAAAUGUUCCAUGGGUGUUGAUUAUUUUUCUGUAAAAUGCACACCGUAUCUGUCAAAUGUCUUAAAAUAACCAACAGAGCAAUGUUUGUGAUAACUGGUAUAAGCGGAAUAGUUGACUCCGUUAUGUUGAAUUAUUUGAAAAUAAUGCACACCUGCUGCGGUGUAAUUCUGUUUUUAUGUCGUGCUACGUUACCACCUUGGGUGUGGUUUAUUUUUUAAUAGUUCCUUAGUUAUUUCAUGUUAUGAUGUUACUGUAAUAAUAAUGCACCCUCAAGGUGGUAAUGCAGACUUUAUGCAAAGUGGAGUUGAGGUCUGGACUUUAAUUGGGCCAGUUAGGAAAAAGACCUAAAUCUCCUCAUGAUGGCUCUAUUGUGGUUUAUUGAGCAUAAUGAUGACUUUGUAGAUAAAGUGGUGGCCAUCAUAAGGACAUUUAGGUCAUUUUUCUUACUGGACCACUCAAAGUCCAGACCUCAACCCCAUCAAUCAAAUUUUGAGCCAGAUGGAAAAUAAACUGGACUUGUAGAUUCAAAGAAAAGUCUUUGGCUGAGUUGAAGAAGGCAUGGGAUUACAUUACUAAUGAAGUUCUGAGGAAAUGACAAAUCGUAACAGUAAUUUUUUUGCGUUACCGACGCUAUUUUGUCUGACAUUCAAACCACAUAAUAGCGAUAAACUGACUGUACACUAAGGUUGUUUCUUGUUCAGUAGUCAGGGCAGCUUCAGCACAGGAGCCAGCCCCGGUGGAAAAACUGCUUGCAUUUCUCCCAACAAAUCUGUGCGUUUUCUAGAGCAUGUUAUUUUAAUAGAGUGAAUCUUUUGUAUUGAUUUUUAACUGUACUUUUAAAUAAAUCAUGCAACAUGUAUAAGUGUGUUGUGUUUAUUUCCUUUUGAAUUGACACCUAAUCAUUAGUGAACUUCAUGAAUGGUAUUUUUUUAUGUUGAGAAAAUAAGGGCUUGUCUGCCCAUGUCUGUCAUUAUAUAUAUGAUUAUAUAUGUCUGUCAUAUAUAUAACAUAGCAGACAAUAGAAAGGAAUUGACAUUUUCUGUAUGUUGUCCUCAUGUAAGUAUUUAAAAUACUUAAAAAUACAUAUACACUUAUGAACAAAUUCACAUUUGUGUUUAUUGGUAAAGCAUAGUUUAUUAUUUGUCCUGCUUUUCACGAUAUUAGAUAUUAAAAGGGACUUUUAUUUAUUUCGCUUCUUGGAGCCCGUCGUCUGGUGACGUCAUAAGGAGUGCGCUGCCGCCGCCGCGCGUCUGUUGGUUGAGGAGCGAUUGAGGUGUCUCUGUGAGUUCAUCUAUAAAUACUGUGAAGAAGUCAAACAAGCAGCUGCUGUCACAACACAUUCAACUACUCUACUAUUCUGAUCCACUGUUGUAAUGAUGGAGUGUGUUAAAGAGGAGACUGAUCCUGAAUCAUUCACAAUAACACCUCAACAUACUCAACAACAAAGAGACUCUGUGGAAGUGAAAGAGGAAGAUCAAGAACACAAUGAAAUAAAGGAUGAAGAUCAGGACCACAAUUUUAUGACUGACAGCUUCUCAGAAACGGAUGAGAAUUCCUCUCAAGAAAGAGUUGAAGCCAAAGAUUUUUUUGAAUGCCAUCUUGGUGGUAAGACUUACUCAAAAAAUGGGCAACUAACACAUCACCUAAGGAUUCACACUGAGGCGCCUCACGCAUGCUCCCACUGUGAGAAGACUUUCAUCAAUAAAAGUACAUUUGAGAAUCACAUGAUGAUUCACACAGGUGAGAGGCCUUUUGCCUGCCCUCAGUGUGAUAAAUGUUUUAUUAAUAAAGGAAAACUUAAUUAUCACAUAAAGACUCACAGUACUGAAACGCUGUACAUUUGCCCUCAAUGUGGAAAGUCUUUCACAUGUAAAGAAUAUCUUCAUAAUCAUAUAAUAACUCACAUUCAGACAAAACAUGUAUCAUGCCCUCAGUGUGGAAAGAGUUUUUCACAUAAGAGUAACUUAAAUGCUCAUGUGAAACGGCACACUAGUGAUGGCCCGUACCCCUGCUCUCAUUGUGGAAAGGGUUUCUUUUGUAAAGCAAGUCUAGAAAAUCACAUACGAAUUCACACUGGAGAGAAACCUUUCACAUGCCCUCAGUGUGAUAAGAGUUUUAAACAACAAGGAGCUCUUAGGGCUCACAUACGAGUUCAUACAGGUGAGAGACCUUACUCAUGUCAACAGUGUGGUAAAAGUUUUAAACAAAAGGGAGCCCUUCAGUAUCACAUGGGAAUUCAUACAGGUGAGAGGCCUUUCUCAUGCCAUCUGUGUGAUAAGAGUUACAUAAAUACAAACAGUCUCAAACAACAUUUGCAGGUUCACUCAAAUGAAAGACCUUUUAGCUGCGAUCAGUGUGAUAAGAAGUUUGUUUUGGCAUCUUUGUUUAAAGCGCACCUGCAGACUCAUUCAGUUGAGAGGCUGUAUCUGUGUUCUGUUUGUGGGAAGAGUAUUAAAUCACACAGAAAAUUUAAAGUGCACCAGAAAAUACAUACAGGUGUGAGAAAACAUGUGUGCUCUGUCUGUAAUAAAGCCUUUCUGAAACCCUCAGACCUAAAGCGGCACCAAAAGAUCCAUGAAAAAAAUCCUAAAAGUGCUCAGAUUGUGGAAAGAGUAUUUUUGAGUUUGGUCCAGACCUCCACCCCAUCAAUUUAAUUUUUGGCCAGUUGGAAAAUAAACUGGACUUGUAGAUUCAAAGGAAAGCCUUUGGCUUGAGUUGAAGAUGGCAUGGGAUAACAUUACUGAUGAAGUUGUUGAUUUCCUCACAAUCAUAACACCAAUAUUUUGCAUCACAGACGCUAUUUGCCAUUUUGUCUGACAUUCAAAUUAAUGAUUUAGAAAUAAAUCGACUGUAUACUAAGACUGUGUCUCAAUUAUAACUCUUGUUCAGGAGCCAGCCUGGUGGAAAGGGCUGCAGAUAAACCUCACGACUGAAUUACUCCCAACAAAUUAAUUUCUGUGUGUAAUCUAGAGCAGUGGUUUUCAAACUGCGGGGCCGCAAGAUGGUGCCAGGGGGCCCCAGUUUUAUGACAUUUUAUGAAAUACAUUAAUUUAUCAUGAAAUCUGUGUAAUUAAACCUAAAAAAAUAAGGCUACUAACCAAAAGCACUACUUUUUUGGAUAAUUUAAUGUUUUUUUCUAUUAAAAUGUUGAGUUUUAGAACAGUUUUUUGUCACAGAUUUUCUUUGGGGGGGCCGCGAAGGAAUGCACCAUACACAAGGGGGGCCGCACGCUGAAAAAGAUUGAAAACCACUG